GGGUAAAAUGGCUGAGCAAAGCAUUAAACUGUAAAUCUAAAGAUAGAGGUUUGUAAUCCUCUUUUUACCA
rnacentral:tRNA from 2 species